rnacentral:rRNA from 1 species
UGGGGAAUAUUGGACAAUGCGGGAAACCGUGAUCCAGCAAUGCCGCGUGAGUGAUGAAGGCCUUAGGGUUGUAAAGCUCUUUUACCAGGGAUGAUAAUGACAGUACCUGGAGAAUAAGCUCCGGCUAACUCCGUGCCAGCAGCCGCGGUAAUACGGAGGGAGCUAGCGUUGUUCGGAAUUACUGGGCGUAAAGCGCGCGUAGGCGGCGUAUCAAGUCAGGGGUGAAAUCCCGGGGCUCAACCCCGGAACUGCCCUUGAAACUAGUAUGCUAGAAUACUGGAGAGGUGAGUGGAAUUCCGAGUGUAGAGGUGAAAUUCGUAGAUAUUCGGAAGAACACCAGUGGCGAAGGCGACUCACUGGACAGUUAUUGACGCUGAGGUGCGAAAGCGUGGGGAGCAAACAGGAUUAGAUACCCCCGUAGUCC